rnacentral:misc_RNA from 1 species
GGAUGAAGAACGCAGCGAAAUGCGAUAAGUAGUGUGAAUUGCAGAAUUCAGUGAAUCAUCGAAUCUUUGAACGCACAUUGCGCCCUUUGGCAUUCCUUAGGGCAUGCCUGUUCGAGCGUCAUUUAACCCCUCAAGCUCAGCUUGGUGUUGGGCGUCCUGUCCCUCUGCCCCCCUCGCGGCGGCGGGGACUCGCCUCAAAUCGAUUGGCGGCCGGUACGUUGGCUUCGAGCGCAGCAGAAACGCGAACUCGGUGCCCGGCGAGCCGGCUCCCACAAGCCACACAUCCUAAGUUUGACCUCGGAUCAGGUAGGGAUACCCGCUGAACUUAAGCAUAUCAAUAAGCGGAGGA